GGGGACUUAGCUCAGUGGUAGAGCACUUGCCUAGCAAGCACAAGGCCCUGGGUUCGGUCCCCAGCUCA
rnacentral:tRNA from 1 species